CCUACGGGUGGCAGCAGUGAGGAAUAUUGGUCAAUGGCCGAGAGUCUGAACCAGCCAAGUAGCGUGAAGGAUGAAUGCCCUAUGGGUUGUAAACUUCUUUUAUCAAGGGAUAAAAUGAGGCACGUGUGCCUUUUUGCAUGUACUUUAUGAAUAAGCAUCGGCUAACUCCGUGCCAGCAGCCGCGGUAAUACGGAGGAUCCGAGCGUUAUCCGGAUUUAUUGGGUUUAAAGGGAGCGUAGACGGGUUGUUAAGUCAGUAGUGAAAGUUCGCGGCUCAACCGUAAAAUUGCAAUUGAAACUGGCAGUCUUGAGUACAGUUGAGGUAGGCGGAAUGCGUGGUGUAGCGGUGAAAUGCUUAGAUAUCACGAAGAACCCCGAUUGCGAAGGCAGCUUACUAGACUGUGACUGACACUGAUGCACGAAAGUGUGGGUAUCAAACAGGAUUAGAUACCCUUGUAGUC
rnacentral:rRNA from 1 species